GGCAGCCUGCGCCCCUCCUCCGCCGCGUGUGUCGCCCGGCGGGGCGAGGGAGCCGGGAGCCUGAGAGUGCGAGCCUAGGAGUGCGAGCCGCUGAGGAGGACAGGGCCGGCAAGAUGGCGUCGCUCCCGGGACCGGGCCGUGAAGUCACGGCUUCGCGUCAGCGCCCGGCUGAGGAGACUUUUCCCCGGGAGCCGCAAGCCUCCCCGCGUUGCGCCGCCCUCCGGAGGGGAGCGGACGUGCGCUGCCUCGGGGCUGCCCGAGAAGGUAGCGAGGACCCCGCUAAACCCGGGCGGCCACGAGAGAAGAACCUAUUGUGCCUGUAUUCAUGAUUCUGGAAAUAAAUGUACUUUUCGUCUUAAGACGGGAACGCUAAGGUUCUGGAGGUGGACCACAGAAACUUCGUUCUCUUUACUCUGGACCUUCUAAAAACCACUUCGCCUGUGAGAACCCUGGCUUUCACUGGCCGCCCAGGUUGUUACACAGAUGCUAAUAAUACUGAAUUUGUAGUCACUUCCUACUCCUGUGAUUGUGUAGACUGUGGAAUUUUUGCAACUUUAAAAUUCAUUUUCAUAAGCAAAGCCUUCAAAAUGUAAUCGUGCUUACUUUCCCUUCUUAACUAGGUAUGCACUUCAAAAUAAACAAUUUCUGAGUAAAAUUUA